UGGGGAAUCUUGCACAAUGGGGGAAACCCUGAUGCAGCGACGCCGCGUGAACGAUGAAGCCCUUCGGGUUGUAAAGCUCUUUUGUGCGGGAAGAUAAUGACUGUACCGCAAGAAUAAGCCCCGGCUAACUUCGUGCCAGCAGCCGCGGUAAUACGAAGGGGGCUAGCGUUGCUCGGAAUCACUGGGCGUAAAGCGCACGUAGGCGGACUCUUAAGUCGGUGGUGAAAUCCUGGAGCUCAACUCCAGAACUGCCUUCGAUACUGGGAGUCUCGAGUUCGGGAGAGGUGAGUGGAACUGCGAGUGUAGAGGUGAAAUUCGUAGAUAUUCGCAAGAACACCAGUGGCGAAGGCGGCUCACUGGCCCGAUACUGACGCUGAGGUGCGAAAGCGUGGGGAGCAAAC
rnacentral:rRNA from 1 species